rnacentral:lncRNA from 10 species
UGAGGAAACCUAGGCUCAAGUUGACACUCAAGCUCACCUUGCAAGAUAGUGGCAGAGCUGAUAAGGUCUCCUUCCUCUACCUUUAGUUUGCCGCUUCUAAUCUAAUGGACUUGGGAGAAGCCACUUACGAGAAUGGUAUAUAAGCCAAGAGCAAAUGAACUGACGUCUGAGGGGCUGGCUAUCCAAACAACAAAAGAUGGAGCAUCAGAUCAUUCAUUGAAGAGUUUCUUGCUCUUACAAGGUCUUUGCAAUGAUUUGAGAGAGGAAGUUGCUAUAUAAUGCUAUCUGGAUGAGUUCUUUGUAUUUUUACUCUGCAUUUUAUUAUUUAGUAUUUAUUCUGUGUUUUGGUUAUAUCACAAUAUUUUGGUAGUUUGUAAUAGAACUUCAAAAAUUCAGGUUUAUUUAUAAGGCAUAUUUUAAGAUGUCUAAUUUUCACAUAUGGAAAAUUUGAGGAAGAUAUUUGCUCAAAGCUACACAUCAUAUUUCAAGCACAGACAAGACUAGAAUUCAGACUUCCUGACCGUUAGGACUAUUCAAACAUUCAUAAUCCAUCAUCCAUCUAGGAGUUUCAGUAAAUAGGCCAUAGUCUUUAAGCUGUAGAAAAUUUUAUUUCUAAGGCCUUCAAAAUAGAUU